CCUACGGGAGGCAGCAGUGAGGAAUAUUGGUCAAUGGACGAGAGUCUGAACCAGCCAAGUAGCGUGAAGGAUGACUGCCCUAUGGGUUGUAAACUUCUUUUAUAAAGGAAUAAAACGAGGCACGUGUGCCUUUUUGCAUGUACUUUAUGAAUAAGGAUCGGCUAACUCCGUGCCAGCAGCCGCGGUAAUACGGAGGAUCCGAGCGUUAUCCGGAUUGUUUGGGUUUAAAGGGAGCGUAGAUGGGUUGUUAAGUCAGUGGUGAAAGGUUGCGGCUCAAUCGUAAAAUUGCAAUUGAUACUGGCAGUCUUGAGUACAGUUGAGGUAGGCGGAAUUCGUGGUGUAGCGGUGAAAUGCUUAGAUAUCACGAAGAACCCCGAUUGCGAAGGCAGCUUACUAAACUGUGACUGACAUUGAUGCUCGAAAGUGUGGGUAUCAAACAGGAUUAGAUACCCUUGUAGUC
rnacentral:rRNA from 1 species